GUGGGGAAUAUUGGACAAUGGGCGAAAGCCUGAUCCAGCAAUGCCGCGUGAGUGAAGAAGGCCUUCGGGUUGUAAAGCUCUUUUACCCGGGAAGAUAAUGACUGUACCGGGAGAAUAAGCCCCGGCUAACUCCGUGCCAGCAGCCGCGGUAAUACGGAGGGGGCUAGCGUUGUUCGGAAUUACUGGGCGUAAAGCGCACGUAGGCGGUCUUUUAAGUCAGAGGUGAAAGCCCGGGGCUCAACUCCGGAAUUGCCUUUGAAACUGGAAGACUUCAACUCGGGAGAGGUGAGUGGAAUUCCGAGUGUAGAGGUGAAAUUCGUAGAUAUUCGGAAGAACACCAGUGGCGAAGGCGGCUCACUGGACUGGUAUUGACGCUGAGGUGCGAAAGCGUGGGGAGCAAACAGGAUUAGAAACCCCUGUAGUCC
rnacentral:rRNA from 1 species